UUCUGUUACUUCAGUUUGCUUGCACAUUGCCAGGAUCCUGAAGGCAGGUACAAGAAAAAAAAAAAACAUUGAGCUUUGCCUUCUCCUUCUACUUUCGCCGUCCUCUAGUCUGAUGUGGACUGUAACCUGCCACCAGCAAGGCAGCAACUGAAAAACAUCAGGGAACCACAUUACAUUAGAUCCUUCCAGCUGUGAGCGAUUGACAUGAGUGAUUAAUCCAUUGAUACUGAACUAUUUUCUAGAACUGGGAUGAUUUUGAAGAAACCCCAAUGGAAUGUACACACAAAUUCCUGGCAAUCAGUGAAGCAGUAACAGCUCAUGGAGCUGCCCUUUACAAACCUUGAAGUAGCUUUCAUCUUGCUGGCUUUUGUCAUUUUCUCCUUGUUUACCUUGGCUUCUAUCUACAGUGACCCCCAUGACAACAAAGAAGAGGAAAGAUCCACACAAGAAAAAUAUAAGAAAAGAAGCAAAUCCAAGAAAAAAAAGACACGUUCAAGUAUGACUGAAGUGGUUUAGAAUAUUACCCAGGUGCACUGUUGGAAAUACUUUUGAAAAAGGUAGCUCUAGAAGCCGGUCACCCGAAGACAGUGAGAAAAAGGAUGUGAGAAAGGAAAGACGUGAUCAUCAUCAGAUGGAAUCCAGACAUGCCAAUUAGAGUUAAUGAACCACGACCCGUGAAGCUGCUUCAGCACCUUUUUACAACCUCCAUUCAUGGCCUUAAUAAAACUACCAGGGCUUUUUUUACAGACCACAUCUGGUCUAAAUUCCGAAAGGAGGAACUUUACAUUCAGAAGAUAUGUUUGGUUUCUUCCCUGCUUUUCGGUCAUGUAUAAAGUAUAUUUAACAGCAGUGUAUUUUCUUUUCUGUCUCUUCAGUCAAUAGAACAUUGGCAUCGGAAGAUAAUAUUUCUACAAUGAGACUGUAUAGCAGUAUUAUAGUAGUUAUUUAAUUUACAUUAACAUUAAUCAGCUGCUGAAGCUUAAUGAAAAGUACAAGGCAAAUAUUUUUUUUAAAUUCUCCAGUGUAAUGCAAUCUAUAUUCAAAUACUGCAUUUGAUUUUUCAUAUUUAGAAAGUUUAUAGUAUGGCCUAUAAAAAUUAGGUUGAUUUGCUGCUUUUGAAAGGUGCCUCACUCAGCCCUGAUACUGAAGUCCUCCAUUUCUUCACAGGCAGAUAUGGCUAAUGAAGCAAUAACUCUUUUUAAUGAAGCAGUAAUUCGAAAUCCAGAAGAUCUGCUGAACUUCCAAGGCUGAGCUUGGAACUUAUCCUUCUUGCCUCAUGGGCAAUGCAUUUCUGCAUUUGGUUUUUGGACCCUACCCAUUUCCUUAGGUCUCAAGUACCAGCACCAUUUCUUCUGUCCACAAGCAAAAAGAAGCAAGAGGAAGCACAAAGUAGUUCACAGAUUAAUUGUUAGAAGACUCCUUUAUGCAUAUUAAGAGAUGACUGGAAAAGCUCAUGGCUGGGUUACAAUACAUAAUAUAUACAGAGAAGGAGAAGUCAUUUUGUUCCUCACCACAACGACAAGAGUAAAAAUAUCUAGAAAUUGACCUUGUUGUAUCACAAAGCUUCAGAUGGUAGUUGUUGAGUGGCCUAAUUAUGAUGCAUCAUUUUCAGAUUGUCAGUGUUUUUCAGGAAAGUAAAGAGAGUGUCUAAUUCUGACAGAUAGCUAAUGUUAAUCCAAAAUUUCUGGUUUAUCGCAUAUCACACUCUCUCUAGAAAAAAAGGGACAAGACAAGUUCCUUUCAGAGCCUCUCAACAGUUUCCCCAGGUCACCAGAAUGCAUGCAUUUGGUCUUUUGCUUUUAUACAUAACGGAGAAUUGAUAAGGGAUUGAUAAUUCUUGCUUUUCCAUAUCAGGCAUACCUUCCCUCGUCCUCCACUUAAGAUACUCUCUCAGGUAUGCAAGUCCACCAGUUUGCAAUGUUCUCCAUACCUAUAGCAGAGCUCCAAGUCUCACUGCAUGCUUACUUCCCUAUCUUCUCCAGUGACACUGCCACGCUGGUUUCUAACUGGUAUCUAAAUUACAAUUGUUUUUUGCUAAUGGUAGGCAACUCCAGGAAGACUUAUCCAGUUUAGGCCUUGUCAAAUCCUCUCACAGUAGAAUCCAUUACUCCACUCUUUUUAUAUUAAGCAGAAAAUAUCAACACCUUUAGGCAACAUGCUGUUCUGCUUGCAGGACCUCAGUGGAAGCUGGUGCCUUGCACCGAGGACCUUCCCACUGCUCUUCCACAGCCUGGUUCAGAAACCUGCAAAGGAAAGGUACUCCGUGCAGAGCAGGAAAGUUGCAAGACCUGGGGGACAGUAUCUUAUGGCCAGCUACAUCCAGAUUCCCUCUUCUCACCAAGUUAAAAAGUGAUCCGUCACUUCCUGCUUCUAGGGAAGACAAAGGCCCCUCAGUACUCACUACCCCUUUAACUCUGAACUGGAAGAAAACCAUCAUUCAGAAGUAAGAGUCCAGUUUGGUCUUGUACAGGGAAACAUCUGUGGUAUGUACAGGACCUCAUCGGGAGUCAUUCCAUCUCAAGGGAAGUGGCUCAUAGAGCUUUGUAUUAUAAAAUCUUUCAAUAUCUUAAUUAACAGAUUAAAUAACAAAACAUUUCAUUUCAUUCUAGCAAGUUUUCUAAAUGAAAAAAAAAAAGUCUCACACUAUUUAAAAUGGCUUGGUAAUAAAUAAUCCUGUAAACUGUCUCUCCCAGUAUACACCUAUUGUUCACACAAGUUCAGUUUUAUCUUUUUUUGUUUUUUUUUUUUUAACCUUCCAAGAGCUCAUUAAAUGUUAUUGAUAUUGAAAACACAGUCAAACAAGUGAAAUAAAAUAAAAUGGGAAGUUUAAAAAUAAGCUAAAUAUAGAGUGUUUGCUUAAACACCAAAUUAUUUUUUAAAACAUGUAUUCAGAAAACACAUAUAAGAUAGUGAAUAAAUCACCCAUAGACCAGAUGAAUGAGGUUUAAAAGGUCUGCUAUUUUAAUAAUUUCCUUCAACCAAAUAGUACUUCAAUAAGGAAAGAACAUAUAACAGGAGAAGUAGUGUUUAUCUUCAGGUGUCAUAUAAACCUAUUUAGCGGAAAAUCUCUGUGUAUACAAGGUUUUCUAAGAGAAAACACUCUACCGGGCAUUUGUGGUUUCAUGAACUGUUUACAAGUUUUUUUAGGAUGAAUGAACCUAACAAGGAUCCAGAUUCUAACAUUUUUUAUUUAAAAACACAGUAAACUGUACUUCUUUCUUUGCAAAUUGAGUUUCUUUGGUCUUUAUUUCUUUUUCUUAUUGCUUUGAAGACAUUUAGUCUACAGAGCAGUUAUUUUGAUUAAAAACCACUGUUGCUCAUCCAGUGUUCUCAUCCAAAACAACUCAUGUUUAUAGGGAGAUACAAGCAGGAAAAAAUGUUCAGCAUUGACACAAAGAUAAGAGAGCACUUCACAACUCAGAAUUGUAGCUUGGAAUAUCCAAACCAAGCACACAUGUUCAAUCCUGCUUGUGAGCUACAGUCCAAGUUUUUGCAUGUGUUCUAAACAGAAGUACAGUUAACUUUCCAAUCUUUUAACUAAUAGAAGAUAUAUGGGACUGACUUCCUAGUACAGUAAGUGUAUUAAAAAAAGUCAUUAAAUUACAGAAUUAAAUAUAAAAUAAAAUAUAUGUGCACAUUC